AAAGUCUGAGGUUCGACAGCGAUCAGAUACCGCUUUAGUUCAGACCGUAAACGAUGCCAUCUGGCGAUCCACCGGCGUUAUGUAUGACUCGGUGGGCAGCCACCGGUAAACCUUUAAGUCAGGUUCCGGGGGAAGUAUGGUUGCAAAGCUGAAACUUAAAGGAAUUGACGGAAGGGCACCACCAGGAGUGGAGCCUGCGGCUUAAUUUGACUCAACACGGGGAAACUCACCCGGCCCGGACACCGUAAGGAUUGACAGAUUGAUAGCUCUUUCUUGAUUCGGUGGGUGGUGGUGCAUGGCCGUUCUUAGUUGGUGGAGCGAUUUGUCUGGUUUAUUCCGAUAACGAACGAGACUCUAGCCUACUAAAUAGACAGCACUUCUUUAGAGUGUUGCACUUCUUAGAGGGACAAGCGACGUCUAGUCGCACGAGAUUGAGCAAUAACAGGUCUGUGAUGCCCUUAGAUGUUCGGGGCUGCACGCGCGCUACACUGAAGGCAUCAUCAUGUCUAUCAACCUACCCCGGAAGGGGCGGGUAACCCGAUGAAACGCCUUCGUGAUUGGGAUAGGGAAUUGCAAUUAUUUCCCUUGAACGAGGAAUUCCCAGUAAGUGCGGGUCAUCAGCUCGCGCUGAUUACGUCCCUGCC
rnacentral:rRNA from 1 species